UACCCGAAUAAGAAGGUCCGGCUAACUUCGUGCCAGCAGCCGCGGUAAUACGAAGGGACCUAGCGUAGUUCGGAAUUACUGGGCUUAAAGAGUUCGUAGGUUGUUGAAAAAGUUGGUGGUGAAAUCCCAGAGCUUAACUCUGGAACUGCCAUCAAAACUUUUCAGCUAGAGUUUGAUAGAGGAAAGCAGAAUUUCUAGUGUAGAGGUGAAAUUCGUAGAUAUUAGAAAGAAUACCAAUUGCGAAGGCAGCUUUCUGGAUCAUUACUGACACUGAGGAACGAAAGCAUGGGUAGCGAAGAGGAUUAGAUACCCUCGUAGUCCAUGCCGUAAACGAUGUGUGUUAGACGUUGGAAAUUUAUUUUCAGUGUCGCAGCGAAAGCGAUAAACACACCGCCUGGGGAGUACGACCGCAAGGUUAAAACUCAAAUGAAUUGACGGGGACCCGCACAAGUAGUGGAGCAUGUGGUUUAAUUCGAAGAUACGCGCAGAACCUUACCAACACUUGACAUGUUCGUCGCGACUUUAAGAGAUUAAAGUUUUCGGUUCGGCCGGACGAAACACAGGUGCUGCAUGGCUGUCGUCAGCUCGUGUCGUGAGAUGUUGGGUUAAGUCCCGCAACGAGCGCAACCCUCACUUUUAGUUGCCAUCAUUAAGUUGGGCACUCUGAAAGAACUGCCAGUGAUAAGCUGGAGGAAGGUGGGGAUGACGUCAAGUCCUCAUGGCCCUUACGUGUUGGGCUACACACGUGCUACAAUGGUAUCUACAACAGGAAGCAAGACGGCGACGUUAAGCAAAUCCUUAAAAGAUACCUCAGUUCGGAUUGUACUCUGCAACUCGAGUACAUGAAGCUGGAAUUACUAGUAAUCGUGGAUCAGCGUGCCACGGUGAAUGCGUU
rnacentral:rRNA from 1 species